CUUUUUAGGGCCACAUCUGGGGCAUAUGGAGGUUCCCAGGCUAGGGGACCAGUGAAACUACAGCCGUCCACCUACACCACAGCCACAGCAACAGGGGAUCCUUAACCCACUGAGUGAGGCCAGGGAUCGAACCUGAGUCCUCAUGGACCUAGUCAGGUCCGUUAACUGCUGAGCCACGGCGGGAACUCCUACUCUUUUCACUUUUUAAAGCUGACUCUUGCCACUAUCUGCCCCCUACCCCCAGAUGUGGGAGUACCAAAUUAAUGUCCCACCUCCUCACCAAUAGAGUGCCCAUCUAAAGAGGUAGAAAAUCUUCUUAGAGUAGCUUUCUUUUUCUUUUUGGUCACACCCACAGCAUAUGGAAGUUCCCAGGCCAGGGAUUAAACCCAUGCCAAAGCGGAGACCCAAGCUGCAGCAAUGACAAUGCUAGGUCCUUAACCCACUGAACCACAAGGGAACUCUAAGAGUAGCUUGGACUCAUAUGACUUGUGUUAUGAGCAAGAGAGAAGUUUUGCAUUUAAGAAUCAUUGGUGGAAAGUUCCCAUUGUGGCUUAGCAGUAACAAGCCUGACUGGUAUCCAUGGGGAUGCUGGUUUGAUCCCUCGCCUCACUCGGUGGGUUAAUGAUUUGGCAUUGCACAAGCUGUGGUGUAGGUCACAGACAUGGCUUGGAUCCCAAGUUGCUGUGGCCAUGGCGUAGGCUGGCAGCUGUAGCUCCAAUUUGACCCCCAACCCUGGAACUUCCAUGUGCCAAAGGUGCAGCCCUAAAAAACAAAACAAAACAAUCACUUGUGUUUACUUUGUUAACUGUUAGUUCAUAUCCUUUAUGGUUUUUUUCUGCCAGAGUUUGUUAUAUUUCUUAUUGAUUUGUAACUGUAUUUUAUAUAUUUAAGAAAUUAGCUCUCCCCUACAUUGUUUUUAAAGCUUUAUUGAGAUGUAAUUCACAAACCCUACAUUUCACCUAUUUUUUUUUGGCCACCCCAAUGGCAUAUGGAAAUUCCUGGGCCAGAGAUCCAACCUGUGGUCACAUCAGUGACAACACCAGAUCUUUAAUCCACUCCCAUUUCACCUCUUUAAGGUGUACAAUUCAAUGGGUUUUAGCAUAUUCACAGGGUUAUACCAUAAUCACUACAGUCUAAUUUUAGAACGUUUUUACUCUCCGAAAGAAACCCUGCUAAGGAGAGGCUGCCCCAUCAGACCCAUUGAAAUGCAUCCUCCGGAGUUCCCGUCGUGGCGCAGUAGUUAACGAAUCCGACUAGGAACCAUGAGGUUGCAGGUUCGGUCCCUGCCCUUGCUCAGUGGGUUGACGGUCCGGCGUUGCCGUGAUCUGUGGUGUAGGUUGCAGACGCGGCUCGGAUCCUGCGUUGCUGUGGCUCUGGCGUAGCUCCGAUUAGACCCCUAGUCUGGGAACCUCCACAUGCCGCGGAAGUGGCCCAAAGAAAUAGCAAAAAAAGAAAGAAAGAAAGAAAGAAAUGCAUCCUCCAUGUCACCUCCAUCCCAACCAGCUAUGCCCUGCAUUUAUGUCACCUACUUAGCACUCACAGGCUUGGCAUAUGAGGCCAGCUUAAACACAGGCCCCACACACUAUGACUGUCAGAACAGUCAUUCCUAGCCUGGCAUCUGCAGCACUGCCUGGGAGCUUGUUAGAAACACAGAAUCUCAGGCCCCACCUUAGAUCCCCUGAAUCAGAAUCUGCAUUUUAACAGAAGACACAGGGAAUUCAUACUCCAUUAGGUUUAAGAAGCACUGGGCUAUGGGAGUUCCCGUGGUGGCACAGCAGAAACGAAUCUGACUAGGAACAAUGAGGUUGCAUGUUCGAUCCCUGGCCUCACUUAGUAGAUUAAAGGAUCCAGUGUUGCCGCGAGCUGUAGUGUAGGUCGCAGACGUGGCUCGGAUCUGGCAUUGCUGUGGCUGCAGUGUAGGCUGGCAGCUGUAGCUCUGAUGAUUAGACUCCUAACCUGAGAACCGCCAUAUGCCACAGGUGCAGUCCUAAAAAGCAAAAAAACGAAAAAAGCACUGGGCUAUGAGAAGGUCUGUUUGCAUAGUAAUGUCUCCCUGGAUAUCUGCCCAUUUCUAAUGCAUAGGAGUCGCUGCUGUGGCACAGUGGGAUCAGCAGCAUCUUGGGAGUGCUAGGUCACAGGUUCGAUCUCUGGCCCUGCACAAUGGGUGAAGGAUCUGGCACUGCCACAGCUUCAGCUUAGGUCAUAACUACAGCUCGGAUCUGAUCCCUGGCCCAGGAACUCCAUAUGCUGAUGGCGGCCAACAAUGAAAAAAAAAAAGUGCCUACUCUGAAGUAAUGCAUAAAGAUCAAGAGUACAGUCUCUGGAUCCAAAUCCUACCUCUGUGAUCUUGGGCAAGUUAUUUCACAAUGUUAAUGAUAGGAACUACUGUAAAUGACUAUUCUGAGAAUUAAAUGAGAUGAUAUAGGCAAAACACUUAGAACAAUGCCUGGCGCAUAAAGGUAAAAUAGGAGCUUUAGUAUUAUUUACUAAUAUAGAACAAUAACAGUAUAUAAAAUAAUAAUUUCUUCCUUCAGUAACUGUGGCUCUUUUUUUUUUUUUUUUCCCCCUUUGGCCAUGCUUCCAGCAUAUGGAAGUUCCCAGACUAGAGAUCAAAUUCAAGCAGCAGCUGUAACUUAUACCACAGCUGUAGCAACAACAGAUACUUAAUCCACUGCGCCAAGCCUGGGAUCGAACCUGUGCCACCUCAGAAGCAACGAAUCACGGCUCUUUUGCCCAGGUGCCAUUACCACCACUUGGUGACAGUCUACUAGAAUUACAGACAAAUCCCUAAAAAGGGACAUAAAUGCUGAAUGUGUAAAUUUAAACUUAGAAAGUGACAACAACACCGCCCUGAUCUCUAGGGCCUGUUGCCUAAUGCUUUUGAAUCCUUGUAGGCCUUUCCGGCAGCCGUGACAAACGGGAUAAAAUCCAGUCUGAAUUCCUAGGCAGGGCUGGCUCUCAGUGCUAGUCAGGUUGAUGAGAGAAGCUGGUUAUGCUAAGGGGAGCAUUCAGCGUGCAGUUAGGGCCUGGGGUCCAGUCAGUUUGCAGUAGAGAGGUUACCCUAGGACUCUGAAGGCACUUUGAGUUGUGUGAAUCGAGUUGGUGGGUUUACACUGAGCCCUCUACCCACUUCUGGUGCCACCUUUUCUACCUGGUACCUGGUACCCACAACCUCCCUUCCAAUAAUCCUGAAAUAAAGUACUAGACAAACUCAUUGUCAGGUCCCUGAUCUUUAAAGCAUCUACAUUUUAAAGGGCGACAAGGAAUAGGCAUGAGGAGACCCACCAGUGGUAGGAUUUGAGACUCCUCCAUAGAAGUGGGAAAUGUGGGAGCCAUCACCAGCCAGGCCCACUCUGGGGUCUGGUUCUGAGAUGCACAGGACCUGGCACCUGGCCUCAGGCAGCUGGGGCCAAGGGGAGGGGUCAGGACAUCAGAGGGAGGGGCCAAGGCAUCCCAGAGGCACUCAGCAGAGCCAAGGGUGAGGACUGGGGCAGGACUGACCCAAAGAGUCUCUGCUUCAGAAAUGAACAGGAAGGAAAGCUAGACAAAUAAAGAUGAUACAGCAUGUGCACUGAAAGGAGAAGCAGGAAGAUGAGCAAAGAGCAAGGGGGUGCGUCAGGAAGUACCGCCACACCAUGUAAUUAGAAAACCAGCCAUUCUGGAGCCUUUCAUUAGGAACUACGAGCUGUUGGGCAGGGCCCAGGGACAGGGGCUUCAUCCUCCUGUGGGGCCAGGAGUACACCGUUCCCACACUGCCAUCAGGCCAGGAGGACCCAGCUCUGAUGCCCCACCACAUGAUACACGGCUCAAAACUUCGGGGCCAGGUACCCACGAUCGCUCUGCCUCUGCCUGUGAUUAUCUAUCUGGGUGACCUUCGGCAAGAUAUGCAACCUCUAGAAACAGAAGGAGGAGAUGGGGGUUCCCACUGUGAUUCAGUGGAAAUGAAUCCAACUAGUAUCCAUGAGGACACGGUUCGGUCCCUGGCCUCAGUCAGUGGGUUAAGGAUCCAGAGUUGCGUGAGCUGUGGUUAGGUCACAGAUGUGGCUCAGACCCAGCAUUGCUGUGGCUGUGGUGUAGGCUGGCAGCUGCAGCUCCGAUUUGACUCUUAGCCCGGGAACAUCAUAUGCCACAGGUGUGGCACUAAAAAGUGAAAAAAGAAAAAAAUGAAAAGAAACCUGGGAUGAUGAUAAAGGGCUGGUUUUCCCAAGGCUGUUGGAGGGAUUUGAUGCAUUCUUACAUAUGAAGGUCUCACACCACACUAGUGAUUUCAGUAGGAUUCACUUUGGGGAGCUCAUGCAGGGAGAGGGCACAGAUGUGUUCUAGGUGAUGGCAGAAGCUGGUGCCAAGACCAAUGGGUGUAAAUUGUAAGAGAAGAGUCCCAAAGAUGGGAGAGAGGCCUGGAUAAUAGGUGGCCUCAUCAUCCCUGGGUUGUAGGGGAGGUGGCAAGCAAAAGAAGAACAGCAUUAGGCAUCCUCACCUUCUAGGAUCCUCAAGAGGAGCCAAGAAAGGUAGAGGAAGGCUGUGGAAGCUCUGUGGGUGCUGCUGGCAGAGGACAAAGGGAAGAGCCCAAAGAAGAGACUUUUAGGAAGUCCCACCUGUGCACUAGGCUUUGUGCUCGGGGCUCCACGACCUGUCAGCCUCCACUCAACUCUUCCCAUAACCCUUUGGGGCAGAGAAUGUCAUCAGCCCACUUAACGGAUGGUGAAAUUGAGGCCAGGAGAAGGACUUGCCAAAGACUUUCCAGUAUGUGAGAGGCAGGAGGCCAGGCAGG
rnacentral:lncRNA from 1 species